GUUAUCGUAUUUUGAAGCCAGAAAUUUCGAUAAGGUUGAUCAAUAAAAAUGGAUAGGAUCGUUGUUAGAAUUCCCAGAUCGACAAUAAUAUUCAAUUCGUAUUUGUCGAAAUGAAUCAACGAAAUUUAACGUUUUGGAUUUUCCUUUCGAUCAUUGUUACAUACUGUAAUGGAAAUUUUACGGGGGACGUUGGAUUUUCGUCAGAAUUGUUGCCAGUGAAAAAUUCGAUGAUUAUUAGCGAAUAUUCUAACUUCGAAUCAGGCAAAGUGAAUAUAAACAAUAUUUUCGAUGAGAUCUUGCCAAAAAUUCGUGACUUCCUGGUUAAAAGGGGUAUGGAACCGGUUAACCUUCCAAAUUACAUUGGAAAUGUUAUAAAUUUCUCGGGAAUUUUCAAUGGGAAGAUCAAUUUGCGAAAUGGAUUUCUACACUAUAUAACGAAUGUAAAACGAUCGAAGAAUAUAAUGGUGCAAUACAACUAUAAGCGUCUUCUAGUCGAUGUAUCUUUGAGAUGGCAAUUAUUGAAUUUUAAUUACGACUACGAUUUAAUAUAUUUAUUUAUGAAGAAACGAGGAGAGGUUUACGGACUUAUUGACGAUACUGAUUUCGAUGUUUCGUUCGAAAUAGAUCUCAAUAAAUAUGAAAUGAUAUUUCACGGUAUAAGGAUCCAUAGAAUCAACUCAUUCAGUAUGACAGUCCACAGCAAUAAAUUAGAUCCAGUGAUGAAUAUAUUAACUUCUGUCAUAACGCGCUUUUUCCAAAAUCGUAUAAUAAAAUUGCUCGAAGAAGAAAGUAUAAAGACUCUUCGAGUUUUUAUCGAUGAAAUGAAUAAAAGAAUUAAGAAGACAAAUUAUGAAGUCAAGAAUUUAAUCGGUUCGUUUUAAAAAAAGGAAUAGAAGAGAAGAAAAGAGAAAGAAGGAAGGAAGAAAGGAAGAAAGGAAAAAGUAAAAGAAAAUAAGAAAGGGAGAAAGAACAAAUGGGAACUCGAGCAGAGUCUGGUGCAACGAUGAUUGAACAAUCUGCAUAGAGAUGGCUCCAUGAAAAUCCAUGAACGUCCGAUGCUCGAGGGAUUUUCCCGAGACGUACUGUAAUCUUGUUUAUACGAAGUACUGAUCGAUAGAAGCUGCCGGAUACGAGGAGGAACUCGGCCGUGAAGUGGUCCAUUUUGUUAGCAUGUACAUAUGUAAAUGUAACGUGAGAGUUUUUAACGGUAAUACCUGUUAGUGGUUGUAGAUUUUUGAUUUAAAAAUAAAAAAAAAAAGAAAGGAAAAAUAAAAAAAAAAUGUAAAAACCAAUCUGGUAAGUUUUAAUCCAAUCGAAUUGCCACUUUCGCGAGAGCAAAUAUUUUUAUGUUCGAAAAAGAUUUAAAAAAAAAAAAAAAAAAAAAAAGAGAGAAAAAAAAUUAGAGAAAAAAUGUAUUAAAACGUAGCAUUGACGUAUACGAGAGAGAGAGAGAGAGAGGGGGGGAGACAGUGAAACGAACGAGGAUUUAUUUAUUUAAAUCGGUAUAUAUAACGAAACACGCUUUUUGAAUUAACACACCGCAGGAAUUUCUCAUUGAUUUGAUUCAAUUCGAUUCGAUUCUAUCAGAUUCGAUUUGAUUUGAAAUGCGUUUACUAUUUGUAAACUGGUACAUACGCAAAAGGUUCAGUAUCGAUAGAGUCGAUAGGUCUGACACAGAUCAUCGACCAUUUAUGCAUGUCCGUUCGUUCGUUUGACACGAAGUACUAAUUACAUCGUAAUUAAGUACUCCGGCAAAUGCUAGCUAACUAUACCCGGGUGAAGGGAAAAAUCGAUUCCGCAACUGAUUCCGACUAAACUGCUCCGGUGUUUCGUGUCCAUUACGAUUCGGUAGUUUGUUUAUAUAAAUAUUAUACAUAUUUUAUAUACAUAUACAUUUCGUAAUAUAAUAUAAUUUAUAUACAUAAACAUUAUUCUGUUGAUCGUUAAUUAAGAUCGAAAGGUACAUUUUUAAAGUGAACAAAUUAUUGUAUUUCGAACGAAUGAUUAAUGAAAGUAAAAAGAAAGAAAGAAAAAUAAAAAAAAAAAAGAAGAAGAAGAAGAAGAAGAAGAAGAAAAAGAUAAGAAGAAAAAACGUUCAUUAAAUAUCGAUUGGUGUUGCUCGUAAUACGAAAAAUAAAAAAGACAUAUUUUUCUUCUAUACAUAUAAUUUAUAUAAUUUAAUAAAUUAUAUAAUCUAAAUAAUUAUUUAUUAAUAUUUAUAUAAUUGAAGAAUCAAUUUUUUCAGUCUUGAUUAUCGAAAUUACGUUCAUUAAUUCUACGAUAUUAAAUAUCAGAAACAUAGAUAAGGAAAGAAAAGAGAGAGAGAGAGAGAGAGAAAAAGAGAAAGAGAAAGAGAAAGAAAAAGAUGAAAGAUAAAAAGAUAGGUAACAAAAGAUACGUAUUAGCAAAAUACCAGACAUUCUGGUGGUUGGUCCAUACAUUCUCGUGUUCUCGCAUGGCAUGAUUACAUUUCGCGUAAUCGAUCGUAGCUAAUACGCGAGCAGACAAGGGUAAACAAGCAUCGCAUGUACGUCUGUCUGUCUAUCUGUCUGUCUUCGUGCACAAUGGAAACCCCAUUGUCAGAGUAUAUUAUCGAUCCUGAUAUACCUGCAUGCCUAAGGAUUCUGUAACGCAUUGCAUGCAUUUGGUAGGAUAUUAACUAUUCACUGGAUGUUCGUCCUAAAGUGCAGGACGAUGAUGGUUAUUAAGGGACAUUGACAAACGUUCCUGUCGACAUCUCUAUUUCUAUAUCCUCGCUUCAUCUAUACAUACAUAUAUAUAUAUAUAUAUGUAUAUAUAUAUAUUUUUUUUUUUUAAUAGCAAAUCAAUUGUAACAUUUUAUCUCAUAAUUAAUUUAGUUUUUUUUAAAUCCAAUUUUUUUUUCUCCUUUUCUUCUCUUUUUUUUUUUUCUUUUUUGUAGCCCUAAAAUCUCAUAACUAGUCAACUAAACGCGUUUCGGUUUUUUUUUCUUUCCAUUGAAAUGAAAUCUAAAUAAAGAAAAAGAAAAAAGAGAACACACACAUAAACGUUAUCUCUUGUGAAAGAUGAAAUAGAAAAAUACAUACGUAUAUACGUACUUAUGUGUAUACGAAAGGAUGAUACCUCGAUAAAAAUCCUGUCUCUUUUCCUUUUUUUCUUUCUUUCUUUCAUUCUUUUUUUAAGUUAGAUAUACCUCCAGCUAUUCGUUCCAUUGCAUCGUGUUUUUGUCCUUUAUCUUUCGUUUCCGUUUACUGUACGGCUUUUGAAAUCGACGAGAAAUCUCGACGAACAGGACGUUUAUUAGUCGCGAAUCUUUCAAAAGGGAACGAGCAAUGGCAAAACGCAAGAGGGAUUUUUCAAUCUCUUUUGUAUUUGCCGACUAUGCACAAACUGAUGAUAUGAGACGUGCGUCAGGAGAUUAGUAUAAGUUAGACUUGAUUAUUAUGGUGGUGCACAUAGAUACGUAUAAGAUAUAUAGAUUAGUACACGGAAAUGAGUAGCAUAAACGAUAGAAGGAAAAGAGAUACACGUUUUAAACGUCGUCAUCGUCGUAGUCGUAGUAAUCGUUAAAAAUUCUGCAAGAUAAACGGCUUACAAAAGAAAUUGACGACAAAUAAUUAAACAGAACUAUCACGUACAGAACAAAUAUUACAUACAUCUAUCCACUUACAUACAUAUAAAUAUUAUUUUUUAACGAUUAACAUUACAAUGUUAUAAUUAAUUCAUAUUUUUCUAUCUGAUAACUUAUCGACUACAGCGCUAGUCUAGAAGUCUAGAAAAAGAAGAAGAGUUAGAGAAAGAUAUAUAUACAUUCAUACAUACAUGCAUAAUAUAUAUAUAUAUAUAUAUAUAUAUAUAUGUAUAUACAUAUUUACAGAGUGACCUAAGAUAACUUUUGUCAUAACAUCUGUCUCCUGUUUUCGAUGUAUCCUUUUUAGAGUUCACUCAAGCUAUCCUAAAGUUUUAUAUAGAAAAGGAAACAUAAUAUAAACUCAUCAUGACGAACGACGACGACCUUACAUAGAGGAAAGAUAAGAAAUUUUGUCUAGAGAGAAACCUAGUAUAUUGAGACACCUCGAGUAAUACACAAGCAAAUACAUAUAUACAUAUAUACAUAUACAUGUAUAUAGAUAUAUAUAUAUACACAUCCAAGUAUCGUAGCUUUCUCAUUCUCGUCCAUUUAAAGGACACGACAGCUAUCGAGCGCUAGGUCGCCUAGCUGAGGAUUAAAGGCUUGCUACAGAGAAUGCUGAGAACGUUGAAGCGUAUCGGAAACACCGAAUCGAGCCGAGCCGUGCCGAGCGAGUACCGACGUGUUUUCUCGGAGAGCUUCCACGUUUUACGGGACUACUUCGUAUCGCGGAGUAAAAAGAUAGAAAGAAAGAAAGAGAAAGAGAGAGAGAGAGAGAGGGAGAGGGAGAGGGACAGAGAGAGAGAGAGAGAGAGAGAGAGAGAGAGAGAGAGAGAGAAAGAAAGAGUUGAGAUUUGACGUAGUUCACGCCACACACGAUGAGUUUUAAAUGUCGAAGAAACGAAUGGUACGAACGUAAAUACAACAUUAUCCAGAUUUAUUGCGUAGGAUGCAAAAUGGUUAAGGAUUAUUUAUACUUAAAGGAGAUAGUUUCAAAGGACCUUUCGAUUCGGUAUUAUGUAUAUAUCGUCGUUUCGUUCAAAGGAGUUGAAGGAAGGCAACACAAGUCGGUGGUUCGAUGUUGGAGCAAUGACGAAGCCGAGCGGAGCCGAUCGGAGCCGAACAAGGCGCGAUGUCCGUUUCGAAGCGGAUUCGAGAGGCUAGCAUGAUCCGUCGUCGUAGAGAAACAUAAUAUAUUGGUGAGGAGGAGGAGGAGAAGGAGGAAGAAAAGGAGGAGAAAGAGGAGGUGGUGAAUGAGGAGGAGGUGGAUGAGAAGGAGGAGAAGGAGGAGGAGCAGGAAGAGGCAGGAGGAGGAGGAGAUGGAAUAGGAAGGGUCGACGGAAGGAGGAAAAGAAAGAAGGAUCGUAAUAAUGAGGAGCUCCGAGAGAAGAGACUACGAGGGUGCGGGAGAAGGUCGGAUGGAAGGAAGAGGGUCUUUUCUCGGGAAACGAUCAGUCAGUGUGGUGGUCCAGCGAGAAGGACGAGGACGCGUCCUUGGUGUUUGUCGGUCGAGGUAGUCAUCGAGAGGGUAGAUUCAUUACUGUCCAACAACAACUGUUACGAUAACGACGAUAACGACGACGACGACGACGACGACGACGACGACGACGACGGCGACGAUAUCGACGAAGAGUGGAUCGUUCAAAGACGAGGAAGGGGAGAGGGAGAGAGAGAGGAGAAAGAAGUGAAUCGGAGAGGAAAGAAGGAGAAGGGAGGGGAAGGGUAGAGAGGAAAAGAGUCGACGCUAAGGAGAGAGUCUCGAGCGUGUUGAGAGGCGCCGCCGAAUCGAGCCGGGCCGAGCCGAGCCGCGCCGAGAGUAGCGUUGAGGCCAAGUCGAGCUGUGCCGAGCUGCACCGAGCUGAGCCGAAGGUUAUACCGGUGUCAGCCUGCACGAGCAGGCGCGCGCGUCCUCUCCUCUUGCGCGCGUCCAGCCGAGCGAGCGAGUAAACGCAAGCGAGUAAAAGCAAACGAGUAACCAACCUAGCAAGCAACCUAGCAAGCAA